GCUCCAUAGUGUAGUGGUUAGCAUGUCGGCUUUAGACACAGAAGGUCCUGGGUUUGCGCCCCAGCUGGAGCG
rnacentral:tRNA from 1 species